rnacentral:rRNA from 1 species
AUAGCCCGGCGAAAGCCGGAUUAAUACCGCAUACGACCUGAGGGUGAAAGCGGGGGACCGCAAGGCCUCGCGCUAUUGGAGCGGCCGAUGUCAGAUUAGCUAGUUGGUGGGGUAAAGGCCUACCAAGGCGACGAUCUGUAGCUGGUCUGAGAGGACGACCAGCCACACUGGGACUGAGACACGGCCCAGACUCCUACGGGAGGCAGCAGUGGGGAAUUUUGGACAAUGGGCGCAAGCCUGAUCCAGCCAUGCCGCGUGCAGGAAGAAGGCCUUCGGGUUGUAAACUGCUUUUGUCAGGGAAGAAAUCCNNUGGGUUAAUACCUCGGGGGGAUGACGGUACCUGAAGAAUAAGCACCGGCUAA